GGAGCAUUCUGGAGUAAAGGAAACAUUUGAGUAAAGGCACUGAAGAGAAAAAAACCCAUGGAGAGUUUUUGAAAAUAGGGAGAAAGAAGUCAGGGCUUAUGGAAGGACAUAGAGGAGAUGAGGAUGGACAAACAAGAGGGUCAUAUUGCAGUUCUGGUGACAGUGUGAAAUAUAUACUGGAGAAGCAAAAGAUGGGACACACAGAGGCCAAUCCAGAGACUGUCAUUCAAUCGGUCCAUAUUUUUGGAGUACCAACUAUAUACAUGGCAAAUAGUGCAGGAAGGAGCUAAAGAAGGCUGGGCUCAGGAGAGGCUUUUCAGCCACAGCCCCUGUAAUCCACAUCUGGACAAAGAUUCCCACUGCAACCUGAGUUGUUUAUCCUUCUGCAAGGAACACAUCUGG